AUUGAACGCUGGCGGCAGGCCUAACACAUGCAAGUCGAGCGGAUGAAGAGAGCUUGCUCUCUGAUUCAGCGGCGGACGGGCGAGUAGUGCCUAGGAAUCUGCCUGGUAGUGGGGGACAACGUUUCGAAAGGAACGCUAAUACCGCAUACGUCCUACGGGAGAAAGCAGGGGACCUUCGGGCCUUGCGCUAUCAGAUGAGCCUAGGUCGGAUUAGCUAGUAGGUGAGGUAAAGGCUCACCUAGGCGACGAUCCGUAACUGGUCUGAGAGGAUGAUCAGUCACACUGGAACUGAGACACGGUCCAGACUCCUACGGGAGGCAGCAGUGGGGAAUAUUGGACAAUGGGCGAAAGCCUGAUCCAGCCAUGCCGCGUGUGUGAAGAAGGUCUUCGGAUUGUAAAGCACUUUAAGUUGGGAGGAAGGGCAGUAAGUUAAUACCUUGCUGUUUUGACGUUACCAACAGAAUAAGCACUGGCUAACUUCGUGCCAGCCGCCGCGGUAACAC
rnacentral:rRNA from 1 species